rnacentral:rRNA from 1 species
GGGCCAGUGGGUUGGUCGUGCCACCGGUACGUACUGGUCUCACUGAUUCCUCCUUCCUGAAGAACCGUAAUGCCAUUAAUUUGGUGUUGCGGGGAAACAGGACUGUUACUUUGAAAAAAUUAGAGUGUUUAAAGCAAGCUAACGCUUGAAUACAUUAGCAUGGAAUAAUGAAAUAGGACGAUCGAUCCUAUUUUGUUGGUUUCUAGGAUUGACGUA